rnacentral:lncRNA from 1 species
CUAUGAUCUACCGUGUCGAUUCCAACUCAGAGAAUCUUUACAUCUGGAGAUCUACAGCAGGGCUAUCCCUAGUGACAUGCGUGAAGGAGCUUGGAAAUGGUGCUGGGUAGGAGCUGAGUGUGCAGAAUGUGGAAAGGCAUUCUAAACCUAAGGAAGAACAUGAGUAAAGAUGAUGAAGCAGGGAUAAGGCUAAAAUGAAAUAUGUGAUCUGAUCCACAUACAAACACAGCGUAGUACAGCUGGAAUAUAGAGAAGAGCUUGAGGACCCAUGAGCAACUAUCCCAGUACUCUUGGAGGCUCUGCCACCACAGUUUGAGAAACUCCGCAUUCAAAGUUAAAAACUGUCACCUGAAUAGUUAAUAACAUCAAAGAUUGUGAAAGCAAGUAUAAAUAACACAGAGAUUAAAAUAAUGAGGCAGGAUCAGAAAGCCCUUGGGACAGGAGAAAGGGUUGGAAAACAAAGAUCACUUUUCUCUGGCCAAAUGGAGUCACCCAACGAAGUACCUUCCUAAUGGGCCAGCUCUUUCAGAUGACGAAGGUUGAAGAAGCGGCAUCAUCAGAGAACUGUGUUUUGAAGAUUUGAGGGAAGGGCUGACCUCAGGAUUUUAUACUAGUUACUGACCUCCAUAACAGCAGACAAAAUUGGAAGCAAGAGUGAUUUUGGAGGAGUCACACUUAGAUGUUUCCCUUACCUAUUUCUGUUCUGGAAAUUUAAAAAUCUUACUUCUCGUAACAGUCCUACAUGAAAAAUUAAAAAUCACAAGGAUUCAUGGAUGGAAAACUGAGACUCAGAGAAUGAUCACAUUCACAUCGUAAUAAAUCAGCAAUAGAGU